rnacentral:tRNA from 1 species
GGGGCUGUAGUUCAAUGGCAGAGUGCUUGCCUAGCAUGCAUGAGGCACUAAGUUCAAUCCUCAGCAUCA